CUCAAGAGCCAUCCUCGUUGGUCAUCAUGGCGCGCGAGAGGUACGAUUCUUUCGCGGUGAAACCAAUUGGUUAUUCCACUAGCGGAGAAGGCGCAGAUUGGCGGACACUUUGAAUGGAAAAGCGUGCUUUGAAUAAUCAAAAACGUCGUUCCGCAUUU